ACACCCCGUUUCUUUUUCUGAAGGGGAAGGAGAUUGACACAGUUACUCUCUUAGUGUUAUGAAGCACUGCCCUACCCUCCCAGGUGCUGGUGGGUAAGUUCUGGGGGAAUUUUCUCACAAAUCCCCAGCUUUAAGGGACACUCUGGAGGUUUAGAUAACCACAAUGAGACUUGACUUCGAAGAAAUGUGUGCCUCAGCCCAUUCUGCAGCAGCUACACAAAACUGAAGAACCCUGCUUCUUAACAGCCACAGGCUCAGGAAUAUCCGCUGGAUAAAGAGUACAGUCCAAUUUGCAUGAAUGGCCCAAGAUGAGGAGGAAAGGUGAAAUCCAGGCUCAAGCACACCAGUAGACCAGGGAUAUAUUGCAACAUUUUGCUGGGGAUCCAGACUUGUCAUCUUAUUAUCCUCCUGCAUUUAUUCGCCUGGAAUAACUUGGCCUCCAAAAACCUGAACCAAGAAACUUUGUGAGCAACCAGACGCUUGAAGGGGCACCUUGAAAAGAAGCAAGAGUUCUAUAAGGAAAGCUGAAAGACACAAGGGGAGGGGAGGGAGUCUUCCAUGAUUGUGGCGUAGAGUGUCACGUCGUCCUCCCCGCACUUCAGGAGGUGUGAGUGGAUUUUCUCAAGUGCAGUUUGACAGCUGAGAGCAAGAGAGAUUCGUGGGGGCAGCAGCAGCAACAGCUGGAGACAUUCCUCACCGCGCCCCUCCUCCUGCUCCGAGAAGCCGGUGUAGCAGAGCGCCUGGACCCGCCUGCCCCUCCUCCUCCUCGGCUCACUGCGCUCCAAGAACCAGACAGGACGGGGUAGCCUGCCCGAGUCGCCAGCUGCACGUUUUCCUCUAGAGUGGCAGGGACUGGAGGAAAUAAGUUGUAUGAGGUUGGCUGGCGGUGUGUCUGAUGAAACAUCCGAAGUAAAUUGCUACAGCGAGAGCCUGGGGUGAAGGGAGGAGGAGGAGGAGCACCCCACAAGCCCAUCACCUGCUGGAGACUUCCCGCCCGCAAAAGGGGAGGGGGAGACAUUUUGUAACCAGCUGCAGCCGGGUUGCUUAACCGGAAGGCUUUAGGUGGGAAUCCCGGACGCACCACUGCACUUGGAAAAGGAAAAAAGAGGGUCGAGGGCAGGCUUCCUUCUCCGGCAUCCAUGUCAAUGCGGAGGGAUGUGCAGGCAAGGAAAAGAUGCAGGAACCGGUCCUGGAUUAAAAAGGCAGAACCAUGAACAUAAACCUGAUGAUGAUGAUGAUGAUGAUGCAACGACUGCGGUGGGAUUACACCCAACAAUCCGCAGGACGGACCGCAAACUGAAAUCCGAGCAUGGCGGCGGGGAGAGAACCGAGCGAAUUGGGCGGGGGGUGUCAAUAGUUCAAUAGAUUCAAAUACAUUUCGUGUUUACAUUUGA